AAGGAAAGACACAGAUUCUGGUGAUACCACCACCAGUGUAUCCUGGAAAUGUAGAAGGGAUGUUUGGUAAAUCAGACUUUGAUGAGCUGCUACUUGUUUUGGAUGGAUUUAGUUUGAUGACGUAUCAUUUCUCCAAUCCAUCUUGAUCAUAACCAAACAGCCCGUUAUCUUGGAUGGAGUCCUGUGUUUUGGCCCUCGCCCCUGAUGAUAACCCCGAGGUCAGACAGAAAAUUCUCCUGGGGCUACAUUUUUACGGCAAUGAAUACUCAGUUGGAGGGGGAGGUCCUAUCGUAGGCAG